rnacentral:lncRNA from 1 species
GUCCUUAUUUAUUUUAUACUCCCUCCGAUCAUAUAUAUAUAUAUAUAUAUAUAUAUAUAUAUAUAUAUAAAAGGAACAUUUUAGAUAUUUUUUUUUAUAAGAAACACUCUUUAAAUUUAUUUUUUAUUAAAUAGAAAAUCCUAUACAUACCCUUAUUAAAUUAUAUAAAAUGCAACUUAUUUCAAUGUUAUGCAUUAAUUUCACAGACACAUUCUCAAGGUUAGUUUUGGAAUAACACAUAAAAUUUUAGAAUCUUUAAUAAAAAAAAUAAGUCUCCUCGAUAUGUGUGUUUUUCUCAAUGUGUUUCAUAUAUAGGACCGGAGGGAGUAUGUCAUUAUCUUAUUACUCCCUCCAGCCUAUAUAUAAGAAACACUUUGGAAAUUCUUUUUGGUCCUUUUUAUAAGAAACACUCUUUAAGUUUAUUCCUUAUUAAAUAGAUAAUUUCUUGUAUACUCUUAUUAAAUUGUAUAAAUUGCAAUUUAUUCCAAUGUUAUGCAUUAAUUACACAAAUACAUUCCCAAUUUAAUUUUGGAAUAACACAUAACAUUUUAAAAUUUUUAAUAAAAAAAUAAGCUUCCUUGACAUAUGUGUUUUUCUCGAUGUGUUCCUUAUAUAUAUAUGACCGGAGCUUCCUUCAUCGUUAAUAAAAUACACAUAAAACAAUGUCUCAUAUCAUGAGUUUUUUUACAAUUUCACUGUUAUAAUUGGUGGUGCAACUUAUUUAAUGAUAGAGCGGUUAGAGUCUUGUGUGUUGUUGAUUUUGGGUCUUGGAAGUCUUGGCGAGAUCUGUGUCUGCUUUAUAUUUCUCAUUUUUUGAUGAUCUCUUCUCUUUCUCUCUUUCUUUGUUGGUACUCUUUCUCAUAAGAUUGAGGCCCUGAUCAAAAUCACUACUAGAAAAACUAACUUCAGAGAGGGACGAAAUCCGUCACUAAUGUGUCAAAUUUCCGUCGCAAACACAUUUAGUGACGGA